rnacentral:rRNA from 1 species
UACGUAGGUGGCAAGCGUUGUCCGGAUUUACUGGGCGUAAAGAGCGCGCAGGCGGUCGUUCAAGUCGCGUGUGAAAGCCCCCGGCUCAACUGGGGAGGGUCACGCGAUACUGAUCGACUCGAAGGCAGGAGAGGGAAGUGGAAUUCCUGGUGUAGCGGUGAAAUGCGCAGAUAUCAGGAGGAACACCAAUUGCGAAGGCAGCUCGCUGGGACGUUACUGACGCUGAGACGCGAAAGCGUGGGGAGCAAACAGG